CAAUGGGGGGAACCCUGAUCCAGCCCUGCCGCGUGUGUGAGAUGCCUUAUGGUUGUAAAGCACUUUAAGCGAGGAGGACGCUUACCUAGUUAAUACCUGGGACCUUGGACGUUACUCGCAGAUAAGCACCGGCUAACUCUGUGCCCCAGCCGCGGUAAUACAGAGGGUGCAAGC
rnacentral:rRNA from 1 species